AACAAUCAACAGAAUCGAGAACCCUCCCUCUUCCAUUCCCAAGUCAAAUGGACCUCAAGAACCUAUCCAGCAAAGCUUCAACGCAUAUUCCCACAUCCUUCUAUCUCAAAGUCUUUACGAAUGUGCAUCCUCAGAAUCACUUCCGGAAGAGCUUCCUGAAUCAGAAUCACUAGAUGAGGAAGAUUCAUCACUUGAACUACUUGAGCUGCUAGAACUACUACUCGCAUGGCCA
rnacentral:misc_RNA from 1 species